rnacentral:rRNA from 1 species
GACGUAGGGCGCGAGCGUUGUCCGGAUUUAUUGGGCGUAAAGAGCUCGUAGGCGGCUUGUCGCGUCAACUGUGAAAACCCGUGGCUCAACCAUGUGGUCUGCAGUCGAUACGGGCAGGCUAGAACUCGGUAGGGGAGACUGGAAUUCAUGGUGUAGCAGUGAAAUGCGUAGAGAUCAUGAGGAAGACCAGUGGCGAAGGCGGGUCUCUGGACAGUUCCUGACACUGAGACACGAAGGCCAGGGGAGCAAACGGG